GCCCUUUUAUAGUUCAUGGGCGUGAAGAUUGGGUGUUCACACACGUGUGAAAUGUGCCACCCUCAGAUCUUGUUACAAUAUUUGCACAUUACCUGUCUGACA